rnacentral:rRNA from 1 species
GACGAACGCUGGCGGCGUGCUUAACACAUGCAAGUCGAACGAAGAGCGAUGGAAGCUUGCUUCUAUCAAUCUUAGUGGCGAACGGGUGAGUAACGCGUAAUCAACCUGCCCUUCAGAGGGGGACAACAGUUGGAAACGACUGCUAAUACCGCAUACGAUCCAAUCUCGGCAUCGGGACUGGAUGAAAGGUGGCCUCUAUUUAUAAGCUAUCACUGAAGGAGGGGAUUGCGUCUGAUUAGCUAGUUGGAGGGGUAACGGCCCACCAAGGCGAUGAUCAGUAGCCGGUCUGAGAGGAUGAACGGCCACAUUGGGACUGGGACACGGCCCAGACUCCUACGGGAGGGAGCAGUGGGGAAUCUUCCGCAAUGGACGAAAGUCUGACGGAGCAACGCCGCGUGAGUGAUGACGGCCUUCGGGUUGGAAAGCUCUGUUAAUCGGGACGAAUGGUUCUUGUGCGAAUAGUGCGAGGAUUUGACGGUACCGGAAUAGAAAGCCACGGCUAACUACGUG